rnacentral:lncRNA from 1 species
GUACUGAGCUGAUGGCAAGGGUGCUCAUCCUUCCUCCUCGGUCUCAGCAGACCGGCUACUGUUGGAUCCGCCUCAAAGGCUCUUUGGGUUUCCCAUGGCUGUGUGAGCUUCCCCAGGGACACUGCAGCUGGUGGGGCUGCACCCUCCUGUUGUGGCCUUCCUGCUGGAUCCUGCGAGGGCCUUUAUUGCUUUCCUUCUUCUGCAAGCUGGCAACAGGGGUGACAAGUGUUUUCAGAGGCGGCAACUGUUUGACUACGUUCCUCUGGAAAGGUAAGAGUCCACUUGGGCCCACUUUAAAAAGAGCGCAUAGCAUCCUGGGCUUUCCUCGAA